rnacentral:misc_RNA from 1 species
UCUCCGUAGGUGAACCUGCGGAGGGAUCAUUACAGAGUUCAUGCCCUAACGGGUAGAUCUCCCACCCUAUGUUAUCAUCACUUUGUUGCUUUGGCGGGCCGUCAGGCCUCGGCUUGGCUACCGGCUCUCGCUGGUAAGCGCCCGCCAGAGAACCCCAAACCCUGAAUAUCAGUGUCGUCUGAGUACUAUAUAAUAGUUAAAACUUUCAACAACGGAUCUCUUGGUUCU